rnacentral:tRNA from 1 species
GGAGAGAUGGCAGAGUGGUCGAUCGCGACGGCUUGCUAAGCCGUUGAGUGGGUAUCAACCCGCUCCGGGGGUUCGAAUCCCCCUCUCUCCG